GCGGGAAUAGAUCAGUCGGCAGAGCGCCACCUUGCCAGGGUUGCGGUCGCGGGUUCGCGCCUCGUUUCCCGCGGCA
rnacentral:tRNA from 1 species